ensembl:rRNA 5S_rRNA 5S ribosomal RNA
GCUUACGGCCAUACCAACCCAAGAACGCCCAGUGUCGUCUGAUCUCAGAAGCUAAGAAGGCUUGGGCCUGGUUAGUACUUGGAUGGGAGACCUCCUGGGAAUACCAGGUGCUGUAAGCU